rnacentral:lncRNA from 1 species
GGAUAUAUAUCAGUUGACACAGGAAUUUCUUUACUGAUGGACCCAGGCUACCUCUGUAAUGUUUAAAGACCUCCAAAUCAAGUUGGCCUUUCUCUUUCUACUUCCCCUAAAGGGCAUGGUGUGCAUGUCAGAGAUCAAGAUGGAGAACUCUCAGCUCCUCUAGCACCACAUCUUCCUGCACGCCGCCAUGCUUCCUGCCAUGAUGAUAAUGGACUG